AGUGCUGAGAUUACAGACAUGAGCCACCACACAGCCAGCCAGGUGCCUGGAGCAAAAAUGUGUCCAGAAUUGGUGGGCUGCUGGUCUCGCUGACUUCAAGAAUGAAGCCGCAGACCCUCGCGACAGAGAAGUUCUCUAGGUCCCCACCCAACUCAAAAGCCCAGCCAGCUUCACCUCUCAAUGGAAGUGGCCGCCAGGACUUUGAGGCACCUAGCCCAGGCAUUCCAGCAACACAGAGGGAGCUCCUACCUGGAUCAAGCCCAGCAGGCACCGAGUGUGGGACCCGCCGAUCCCGUGCCCACCCGGAACCCACACUGGCUGGCGAGCGCGCACACAGCCCCGGCUCCCGCCCUCGCCUCUGCCUCCACACCUCCCCGCCAGCAGAGGGAGCUGGCUCCGGCCUCGGCCAGCCCCAGAGAGGGGCCCCCACAGCGCAGCGGCGGGCUGAAGGGCACCUCGAGUGCGGCCAGAGCGGACGCCUAGGCCGAGGAGGCACCCAGAGGACAAGGGGAGUCAGAGGCAGAAGAGAAGGUGCCGUGAUGACAGAAGCAGAGAUCUGAGUGACUCACUUUGAAGAUGGAGGAAGAGGUCACAGGCCAAGUGAUACAGAUGCCAGGAGAAGCUGAAAACAGGAGGAAAUAGAUUCUUCCUUCAGAGCUUCUGGAAAAGAUCAGUCUUGCUGAUACCUUGACUUUAGCCCAGUGAAACUGAUUUUGAACUUUUGACUUCC